rnacentral:SRP_RNA from 1 species
GCUGGGCGCGGCGGCGGGCGCCUGUAGUCCCAGCUACUCGGGAGACUGAGGCAGGAGAAUGGCGUGAAUCCGGGAAGCGGAGCUUGCAGUGAGCCGAGAUUGUGCCAUCGCACUCCAGCCUGGGUGAGACUCAUCUCAAAAAAAAAAAAAAACAAAAAAAAAAACCAGAAAGAUAAUAAUAUAUUAAUUACCAAAAUCAGAAAGAUAAUAAUAUAUUAAUUACCCUUGUGUUAUGUAGCUCAGGUUUUUUUUUGUUUUUUUUUUUUAAAGACGGAGUCGCUCUGUCGCCCAGGCUGGAGUGCAGUGGCGCGAUCUCGGCUCACGGCAAGCUCCGCCUCCCGGGUUCACACCAUUCUGCCUCAG